GAAAAGAGAAGUCGCAGAUCCUGAAGCAUCACUCACUGGACUAGGAGGAACAUCUCCGGAUGCUCGGGCAGGGUGGUUUGAGUGAGAUUGAGAAGAAGAACCAAGAGGAAGGCUGAUCUUUUGUACAACGCCAUUGAUGAGAGCAAAGGGUUUUACAGGUGCCCAGUUGAGAAGUCUGUGAGGU